UACGUAGGGGGCAAGCGUUGUCCGGAUUUAUUGGGCGUAAAGAGCGUGUAGGCGGCUAUACAGGUCCGUUGUGAAAACUCGAGGCUCAACCUCGAGACGCCGAUGGAAACCGUAUGGCUAGAGUCCGGAAGAGGAGAGCGGAAUUCCUGGUGUAGCGGUGAAAUGCGCAGAUAUCAGGAAGAACACCCGUGGCGAAGGCAGGUCUCUGGGCCACUACUGACGCUGAGAAGCGAAAGCAUGGGGAGCGAACAGG
rnacentral:rRNA from 1 species